rnacentral:lncRNA from 1 species
UUCGACAUCUGGUACUACCGUUUUAUUAUUACUUGCAACGAUUUAGUACACUUAUUGAAACAUUGUCAAGCUUGCAUUUUUUCUAAGUGAGUUGCUAAGAAGAAGAUAUCACCGAGAUGGUUUCUCGUGAUCAUUCCCCACCUUAUUGUGCCAUCCUUAAAACACUAUUCAUCGAUGUGUAUCUUCAAGAUUCAGGGCUUUCUAGUGUUCUUGUGUAGCAACAACAACUGCAUGGUCUGGCUGCAUUCCAUGUACAAAAUUAAAUCCUGCUACAAACUUAGAUGUUGUUGUAGCUACAGAUUUUGGUUUGAAGUCUUCCUUUCUUAAAAUCAAGUUGUUUCUCCAUUUUCAAAUCUUCUAGAGGGUAACACCGAAUAGUUAAGUGGCUAAGAUAAUAGAUGUUGAAAGCCAUAUUUGCAUCCAAGAAAUCAAGUUUAUAUGAUUUGGAACAUAUAUACCCAUAGGAGAUAAGAACCAAACCUGUUGCGUUGUGGGAAAUUUCAUGAAUCGGUACUCUUGCUCCUCUUUUUCAUUGAAGCAUAAGGAACACUCUGUAUCUUCCUGAAUCACUUUCUUCUCCAAGCAACACCUUGUUGGUAAGAUCAUCUUCACCACUCUCCAAAGGAAAUUAUUGACUCUUAUUGGAGCUUGAAUUCUUCAUAUUACACUCCAUAAGCCUUGUCCAUUUGAGGAUGAUUAUGGUCUGUCUUUCAACUUGUUUUCAUUCAGAAGAUGGUAGGUCGAUCUAACGGAGUAGUUCCCAUUUUUUUCCCAGUGUGAAAUCAAUUUGUCCUCU